GUGAUAAUUGGCCACCUCCCUGUUCUUAACCUUGGACCAUGAAUCCAUGAUCUGACACGCGUAGUAUCUUCAAGUGGCAUUUUUGGGGGGCAAAGAAACUGAUCCAGAAAUAGUCUCACUCAAUCAAAGCAAAGGGACAAAACAAAAUACACAAUCAAAGAAAUAUUGUGUUUAAAGAAGGACAAUCUUUCAAAAAAGAAGGACAAUCUUUAAAAAAAGGGGGACAAAAGCAAAAGGAUUGCGAAACAUUUGAAGCUAUUUUUUCAAGUAGAAGUACAC
rnacentral:lncRNA from 1 species